UCCGUUUUAGAAACAUCAGUGGCCAACGAUCGUCAGGAUUGUUGAGCUGCAUUGGCGGGAUUUCGCCGUCUUCGUUUCUCUUUCUUCGCGGACGAACACGCGCUGGGGCUGCAAGCUUGCAGAAUCCCUGGUCCUUGACUGGAUAUGCGUUAGGGGCUUGUAGCUCAGUUGGUUAGAGCGCGCGCUUGAUAAGCGUGAGGUCGGAAGUUCAAGUCUUCCCAGGCCCACCACACUCAUCGAGUGAGCAUUCGUCUUCUGGUUACGGGGCCAUAGCUCAGCUGGGAGAGCGCGUGCUUUGCAAGCAUGAGGUCGUCGGUUCGAUCCCGUCUGGCUCCACCAGAUGGUUUGAUCAUCGACUGAUCGUGCAUCUAAAUCGUCCGCGAAACAUCACUUCGCACUUACUAGUCCGGAUGGACAGUAAGCUGCGUGAUUUCUGACAUCGUAAAGAGGAGAUCGAUCCGAGUUGGAUCGGGCAACAAGCAAUUGUUGCGCGAUACUUCAUUAUCUCCGGAUCAUUUCGGCGCUCGUGCGUCUUUCAAUGUAGCUCACAAGGCUGCGUUUGAGAGACAUGCGAGUUGUAAAUGAUCCUUUUAGCGAAGCUUGACCGCCUCGCUAUCGGAACGAUCUUACGAAGCAAGCUGGUCUUUCUAAUCAUUGUCCGGCUGCAGAUAGCGUUCAUCGAGGGCGCGUGCCGCAAGGUAAUUCUGCAGACAACAUUCUGCCGAGUGUGUGGACAUUGAUAAUGAGAGCAAUCAAGUGCCUUAAGGGUGUUCGGUGGAUGCCUUGGCGCUGAGAGGCGAUGAAGGACGUGCUACGCUGCGAUAAGCCGUGGGGGAGCUGCGAAAGAAGCUUUGAUCCAUGGGAUUUCCGAAUGGGGGAAACCC
rnacentral:misc_RNA from 1 species